ensembl:lncRNA
CUGCAUAAGGAACAAGUACGAGAGGGUUAUCAUCUUUAUUCUCCAAGGACCCGCAAUCUGUUGAAAAAAUAAAACUGAACAAACUGUACAAGGCGGUAGAAAAGUCAUCUGUACAUCAUUUACUCUAUUUAACUUUAUAGAAUUGUUAGACGACAUCCUCAAUUUCUGGUACAAGGUUUCAAAUUUACACACAUAUUGUACAAAUGAAAGUAUACAAAAAGUAUAUGAAAAAUAUGGCAUUAUAACAUUCAGGAUAUUUCACAGACUUUUACAAGCAUGUUGUGUCUUUCCUCUUCCAUUCACCAUCUGAGCAUUUAUAUAUACAUCUAAAAAAAAAACAACACAAUGUGUUUGAAAAAAGAAUUAUCAACGAAUUGUUGUGCUAAACAAUGCAUCAGUAUGAGAAACCACAACUACGAUGGAAAAAAAAUUGCAUAGCGUCGUCUUUAAUCAAAAGGUCCAUUGAGAAAAGCUGAGCAUCACAAGUCCGACGUCGUGCGUCACAUGAAAGCUUGGAAAACUUCAUUUCUCGAGCGAACAAAGUGCAGACGUCGAAACAAAAGCAGUGCAGAGUGCUCCUUUGAAACUGCGUGAAAAUGGACGGCGGGAUAAUUCUCCGGAUCGGGCCACUAGACACGCCGGCACUCGGCUCUGGAGAAAGCAAAUCACUCUGGCUCAGAGGAUCUUUAGAUUGGGCAAAAGACUGCCAAAGUCUACUGAGUGUGUGCGUGUGUGUGUGAGCGUCUUCAAAGUGCUUCUAUGUAUGGAGACGUAAAAUAAGAGGUCUUUUUCUUCUCUCCUGGCAAUUCACAUAAUCAGUUCACACAAUCAGAGUCUCUAUUCAAACAAAUGAGACUCUCGCAAAAUAGGCAGUUAUCACUGUCUCAGAGAAGUAGUUGAGAAUAAAGGAGCAGUUUGUCAUUUUUGAAAGUGCUUCUAGACCUGCAAUAAUCAUCUCAUUUCUAUAUAACCUCAGAAAAACAGUCAUCUGCAUUAUUGAUAUAAAUGGAUCUGGAUGGUUUCUUAAUUUUCGGGCUUCCUGUUGAUAUUUUUAUCCGGCCCAGAAAAAUACGUUUUCACAAAGCGAGUGAGUUGUAAAUAUCGGAAUUGAAACUGCAAAUCGCAAUCAGAAGAUGGAUCUUAAAUGAUCGACUGCUCCUUUAACGCACUGUCAUUUGAAGAAAUUGUUUGAAAUCUACCACUCUACUGGAAGCAUCAAUGAUUAAAGGUAUUCCAGCAUUAAAAUACCAACACCCUGUUUAAAGAGGUAUAACAUAGCACCUUCUUUUACACUUCUUCACUUCUCAUGUAAACACAAGGCUAUUGUGAUUUCCUCACAGAUGCUCAUAUUUCUCUUAUUGGCUUUGACUACAAAUGUGUCUCACUCAGACAUAUCACUUAAAGUCUCCAACUUUAAGUGUGGUAUUCUGGUGUAAACCUUUCCAGCAUUUAAGAUUCAUACUGUAGAUACAAAAGUACUAAGGCGUUAGGAAACAUUAGCACCACAUAAAAUUUUCCAUAUUGUGCACGGAAGCCCGUAGAAGAGUCCUUAUGAUACGUUCCUAAACACGGAAUGAAAAAAAUAUGCAUUGUGAUGAAAUUCAUACAGAUUCAUACAGAGACUGCAGCGCAAAGCAGUCCUGAGAAACUGCACUGAGAAAGAAACACGAUUGUGGCGGCAUCUAGUGCGCACUUGUGCAAAGCACUACAUCUCAAACUUCAGUACUGGUUUGAACACACCCUAUGCUGAUUUUUUUUACCUUAACAUUUCUAUGUGUGAGAUUCCCAUCCAUGAAAUUUGUUAGAUCAAGUCAGCAUUGCUACAUACGUCUCUGAUGUAUCUGACACGAGUUCCUUUUCAAAACUGAAAAAAGUGGAUAGAUCUUAUAAAAAUAAAAUAUGUAUUCAGCCAAAAAAAGCUUUUGAAGAGCAUCAAAAAACAAACAAACCCUGAUAAGGUUGUUCCACAAACAACAGAAAAUGCCCUACAUUUUUAAAACUCACUAAGAAAACCUAUGAAUAUGCAAAUCAAAAUUCAAUCAGGUAUGCAAAUUAAACAAAACUGGUGUGUUGUGCGGCCUUAAUUUGCAUACCGUAAGACAAAUAGCUCUUGUCAUUUAUGGUGCAAGAACACUCCACUUUCACAUAUUUGGUAAAUCUGUGCACUCAAAUGAAUUCCCCAGAAAGGUUUGAAUUAUUAAACAAUGUUUUAAAAACUUUAAGGUGACCUUAAAUACUCUAAAUUAUUAUUAUAAUUUGCUCUUCUUUUUUUUUAAGCCAGCUCCUCCGUUGAUACACAACAUCGCACCUUUACGAUGCGUUCAACGACAGGUCGCAACGAGUCAUUCCCAACCUCCAAUCAGGAAAUGCAAAAGAAAACACCCAAAGCUCAAUCAACAUACAGACACAUUCGCUCGUUAAAUCUAAAACACUAUUAUGAAUUUGCAGUUCGCAUUAGCUUGUUGCUAACAAAAGACUUUUCCACUUCGUAUGUUUGAAAGCACCGAGGUUGAAAAGGGCAUAAUUCCACAUACGAACGGAGGUAGUCGACGCUGCAUUAUUGCGCUGGCUAAAUUUCAAGCUAGCAUGACGGCUAGUUAUAAGGCAAGGCAGCUUUAUGGCACUUUGUGUAGAUAUAGUUCACAGGAAAUAUGGUGUGCAAAUUGCUACGUAAAUCGAUAUUAAGGGCAAAGAUUUCUCUUAUACUAUCAUUGUGAUGCAAGUGGACUUGAAGGUCAUGGUAUUAAAACAAUUCGGAUUUGUUACGGAAAGUCAAUUGCCUGAUGCUUCAAAAUAGAACCAGAUGUAUUUUUUUUCAUGAGCCAUAUGUCUUCUACACAGAUUGUCCUGUUUUGUAUGCGGUUACUGAGAGUAAACUCUUAUCUUCAUGGAAGAGUAAGACGUAUUGCUGUGUUGUUCACAGUGUAGAUUCCACCGAAGGAUCCUGGAUGUCCGCGCUGUCACUGUUGCUGCUGGGAGUCGCUGUCGUCGCUCGGUGGGCCGGUGCAGUGAGCUGCCUCCUUAAGCCUCAUUAGCAUAUUCAUCUACGAUGAUAAGGAGAGGUCAAAAGGUCAAUGCAAUCAGCAGUGAAAACAAUUCAGAAAUAAUACUGGUGUAAUUUUUUUAAAUUAAAA